AUUGAACGCUGGCGGCAGGCCUAACACAUGCAAGUCGAACGAGUGGCGGACGGGUGAGUAAUGUCUGGGAAAAUGCCCGAUGGAGGGGGAUCACUACGGGAAACGGUAGCUAAUACCGCAUACCAUCGGAUGUGCCCAUAUGGGAUUAGCUUGUAGGUGGGGUAACGGCGCACCUAGGCGACGAUCCCUAGCUGGUCUGAGAGGAUGACCAGCAACACUGGAACUGAGACACGGUCCAGACUCCUACGGGAGGCAGCAGUGGGGAAUAUUGCACAAUGGGCGCAAGCCGGAUGCAGCCAUGCCGCGUGUGUGAAGAAGGCCUUCGGGUUGUAAAGUACUUUCAGCGAGGAGGCGUUACUCGCAGAAGAAGCACCGGCUAACUCCGUGCCAGCAGCCGCGGUAAUAC
rnacentral:rRNA from 1 species